UCGUGUAUAGAUGUCCCGCGUCUAUUAGCUAGUUGGUAAGCUAACGGCUUACCAAGGCGACGAUCAGUAGCCGGCCUGAGAGGGUGAACGGCCACACUGGAACUGAGACACGGUCCAGACUCUACGGGAGGCAGCAGUGGGGGAUAUUGCACAAUGGGGGAAACCCUGAUGCAGCGAUGCCGCGUGAAUGAUGAAGGCUUUCGAGUCGUAAAGUUCUGUUCUAAGGGAAGAUAGUGACGGUACCUUAGAAGAAAGUCCCGGCUAAAUACGUGCCAGCAGCCGCGGUAAUACGUAUGGGACGAGCGUUAUCCGGAAUUAUUGGGCGUAAAGAGUUCGUAGGCGGUCCUUUAAGUCAGAAGUGAAAGGCAGUGGCUCAACCAUUGUAAGCUUUUGAAACUGGGGGACUUGAGUGUUGGAGAGGAAAGCGGAAUUCCUAGUGUAGCGGUGAAAUGCGUAGAUAUUAGGAGGAACACCAGUGGCGAAGGCGGCUUUCUGGACAAAUACUGACGCUGAGGAACGAAAGCGUGGGGAGCGAACAGGAUUAGAUACCCUGGUAGUCCACGCCGUAAACGAUGAGUGCUAGGUGUUGGGGUAGCGAUACCUCAGUGCCGCAGUAACGCAUUAAGCA
rnacentral:rRNA from 1 species